GGUCAGAUGGCCGAGUGGUUAUGGCGCCGUGUUCAGGCAAUACCAUUAAUAAUAUCAUCGUGCGGUGUAUUAGGGUAUCGUGAACAAUAUUCGCGGUGGAGCAAUCCGCGUGGGUUCGAGUCCCACUCUGAUCA